AACGGGGGGCAGGCGGCUCACCGGGAACUCCGGAGGAAGUUCUGCCCACCAGAGGCAAAGGCCCCUUAAGGGGGCUCUUAGCGGGAACAGAAACGGUACUCCCAUGGUCUUACUAUGAGGAAACGAGAUGUCCAUGAAGGAGAUGAAACGGCCCGCGAAGGCCGGGUGAUGGUGCAAGCCAGGAAUUGGCGCUCAGUAUAAUGCCGCGCGGCGCUUCGGCGACGGAACACAGAAGGCAGGCUAUGCUCCCCGUU
rnacentral:RNase_P_RNA from 1 species